UACGUAGGGUGCGAGCGUUAAUCGGAAUUACUGGGCGUAAAGCGUGCGCAGGCGGUGAUGUAAGACAGAUGUGAAAUCCCCGGGCUCAACCUGGGAACUGCAUUUGUGACUGCAUCGCUGGAGUGCGGCAGAGGGGGAUGGAAUUCCGCGUGUAGCAGUGAAAUGCGUAGAUAUGUGGAGGAACACCGAUGGCGAAGGCAGCCCCCUGGGUCAAGACUGACGCUGAUACGCGAAAGCGUGGGGAGCAAACAGG
rnacentral:rRNA from 1 species